rnacentral:tRNA from 1 species
UCCCUGGUGGUCCACUGGCUAAGGCGCCUUGCUUCCAAUGCAGGAGGCCUGGGUUUGAUCCCUGGUCAGGGAA